rnacentral:rRNA from 1 species
CGUUAGCGGCGCGCCUAACACAUGCAAGUCGAGCGAGAAGGAAGCAAUUCCUGUAAAGCGGCGCACGGUGAGUAACACGUAGGUAAUCUACCUCGAAGUGGUGGAUAACCUUCCGAAAGGAGGGCUAAUACAGCAUGAGACCACGGUUUCGAAAGAGAUUGAGGUCAAAGCGGGCCACUAUACAUAAGCUCGCGCUUCGAGAUGAGCCUGCGGCCCAUCAUAGUAGUUGGUAGGGUAGUGGCCUACCAAGCCGAAGACGGGUAGCUGGUCUGAGAGGAUGAUCAGCCACACUGGAACUGAGACACGGUCCAGACUCCUACGGGAGGCAGCAGUGGGGAAUCUUGCGCAAUGGGCGAAAGCCUGACGCAGCGACGCCGCGUGAGUGAUGAAGGCCUUCGGGUUGUAAAGCUCUGUGGAGGGGGACGAAUAAGGGUUGGCUAACAUCCAGCUCGAUGACGGUACCCCUUUAGCAAGCACCGGCUAACUCUGUG